AAACUAGUGAAUGCAGCUGCAACUACCAAGCCAAAACUUGUGGUUUCUUUGAGUCAAAGCCCAGCUCUCAGCAAAUUGAUUUUGGUUUCAACUAAUUGCCUGACGUUGGAGGCACAAAAAGCAGUCACAAAGCCCCUCAGAAGCAAAGGAAUGUAGAGAUAAACUCAAUCUCUUAAUGGAGAAGAGGCAAGAUCGUAUUACUGAAGAGCAUGUGAAAUGGUAAGUGCGUUGUAGACACAUUUUGGAAAUGUAAGUUGCCACAGUAAGAAUAUCGGAUUCCAUUAGGAAUAUUAUAAAGGUACUGGAGGGUUUUGAGAAGAGAAAAUAUAUCCUAUUGUAUGACUUAGAGUCUUUUUGUUGAGAAAUUUAGUGGUGCAAAUUAGAAAAAAUGAGAUUACUUAAGAAGCUAUCGGCCAGGCGCAGUGGCUCACGCCUGUAAUCUCAGCACUUUGGGAGGCCGAGGCAGGCAGAUCAUGAGGUCGAGCAAUUGAGAUCAUCCUGGCCAACAUGGUGAAACCCCACCUCUACUAAAAAUACAAAAAUUAGGUGGGU
rnacentral:lncRNA from 1 species